rnacentral:rRNA from 1 species
UGGGGAAUUUUGCACAAUGGGCGGAAGCCUGAUGCAGCGACGCCGCGUGGAGGAUGAAGGCCUUCGGGUUGUAAACUCCUUUUGUAGGGGACGAUGGUGACGGUACCCUACGAAUAAGCCACGGCUAACUCUGUGCCAGCAGCCGCGGUAAGACAGAGGUGGCGAGCGUUGUUCGGAAUCACUGGGCUUAAAGGGCGCGUAGGUGGUAGGGUAAGUCCGGGGUGGAAUCCUAUGGCUUAACCAUAGAAUUGCCUUGGAGACUGCUUUACUUGAGUCAGUAAGGGGAGGGCAGAAUUCCUGGUGUAGCGGUGAAAUGCGUAGAUAUCAGGAGGAAGGCCGGUGGCGAAGGCGGCCCUCUGGUACUGGACUGACGCUGAGGCGCGAAAGCGUGGGGAGCGAACAGG